AAUAACACCAACUAACUAGGUGUAAUAACACCAACUAACUAGGUGUAAUAACACCAACUAACUAGGUGUAAUAACACCAACUAACUAGGUGUAAUAACACC